rnacentral:rRNA from 1 species
CAGCAGUGGGGGGAAUAUUGGACAAUGGGGGGGAACCCGUGAUCCAGCCAUGCCGCGUGUGUGAAGAAGGCCUUAUGGUUGUUAAAGCACUUUAAGCGAGGAGGAGGCUACUGAGACUAAUACUCUUGGAUAGUGGACGUUACUCGCAGAUAAGCACCGGCUAACUCUGUGCCAGCAGCCGCGGUAAUACAGAGGGGUGCGAGCGUUAAUCGGAUUUACUGGGCGUAAAGCGUGCGUAGGCGGCUUUUUAAGUCGGAUGUGAAAUCCCCGAGCUUAACUUGGGAAUUGCAUUCGAUACUGGGAAGCUAGAGUAUGGGAGAGGAUGGUAGAAUUCCAGGUGUAGCGGUGAAAUGCGUAGAGAUCUGGAGGAAUACCGAUGGCGAAGGCAGCCAUCUGGCCUAAUACUGACGCUGAGGUACGAAAGCAUGGGGAGCAAACAGGAUUAGAUACCCCUGGUAG